rnacentral:rRNA from 1 species
AUGAGUCGUGGCGGGAGUGCUGGAGGUGGUCAAAGUUCUCUGGGUUACCUGUUUGGAGAUGGUGAGCCUGCAAAGCCUGCUGCAGCACCAGCUGCGAAGCCAGCACCUGCUGAGAAACCAGCACUGGCAGCUGCCGAUGUAACCAAGCAGAUUCCAGCUGGCAUUCCAGGUAGCCGGGCGAACAACUACUACCGUGCAGAUGGCCAGAACACGGGCAACUUCCUUACGGACCGUCCUUCAACCAAGGUUCAUGCUGCUCCCGGCGGUGGCUCGUCCCUGGGCUACUUGUUUGGCGGGAAGUGA